AGAUGUGGAGGGAGGAAAGAAGAGGAGGGGGAGAGGCAAAGGGGAAUAAGGAGAAAAGAGACAGAAAGAGGCAAGAGAAAGGGAGAAACAAAGGAAGCGAAGUGGUGAAUACAGGCAAAGGGGGUUUAGGGGAGAAAAGAGGUAAAGUCCAUAUCAUUCUAAUGGUCACAGUAUCGCGUAUCCGAAGUUCAUCAUCAACAUUAUUUGGAAGCGUAAUUUCGUAUUGUGCUUGUGGUUGCGUGCGAGAGUGCAGGACGAUCGCGCAGAUCGUCUGAGAUAGUCGUCACAAUUUUUUUUUAUUCGGAUGUUUUCAGGCCAAAAGGUAUAUUAUUACCAUCGUUAUAAUGAUCAUAUUAUAUAAUUUUCUUGUUUUUAUUAUCAUCACUGCCAUUAUUAUAAUUAUUAUCAUUAACGAUACUAUCGUCACCACCACCACACUACUACUAAUCCUAUUUCUACUCUUCAAAAAAUAACUGAUGUGAAAAAGCAACAUACGUUCUUUUCUAUCAUGACAUUAUUUUAUAUAUUUAUAAAUUGAACACUGCCAAAUUAUCGUGCCUCGAGUGUUGUUUGAUCUUAAGGUGUUGAGGCAGUGUGCCCUGGUGACCGGUAGACCAUUGUAGUGUACCCCGAGAUACGCCUUGUAAAAAAAAAAAAAAAAACAUCUGUAAUUAUUAUGCAUUUUGCCAAGGGCGCACUAUUUUAAUACAUUGCUCCUCUACCUUGAACUACCAUGUAAACUACCUUGUUUCCCGCUCGUUUGCCAGUGUCCAGCAGCUCGCCGUGCGCUGGAAGCCAGGCAUAAUCAGUUCACCCCAAAACCCAGAGGUGUUUACAUGUGCUGUGUGUGUGCGUUGUACGAGUUACUGUUAAAAUUCAUUCUUUGAUUUGUAUACUCUUACUGGCCAAUGUUACCGAAAGCGACGCACAGAGAUAGAGAGAAAUGGACAAUGCCAUCUAAUAGACCUUACGAAAUAGCCAUGAAUAAUAUGGGCACAGCUGCUGUGGUUGCAUAUUUACAGCAAAGUGAUGAAAAUAAUUCCUGCAUAUCACCGCUCAGAUUUUAUCCCUCACACAGCCAGUGCUCAUAAUGUCGCAUUUUCUAUAAUUCCUCCGCCGCAGCUCCUCUGUACCCUACACGAAGGUACAUCACUGCAAGAACUUUGGUGCAUGACUGCAAGUGACUGAGCCAAGGUGUCACCACAAGUCCUUGACGUCGGCGGCCGCUACCUAUCGGCGUACAGCUUGCCUCCAUUCAUCACCCCGUCUCGCCCCCAUGUCUCAACCGUGAGCUACUCGGAGGGUUGUCCUAAGGGCAGCUUGCCCAAUUCUUGCCAGGAAGAAGUCAUCUGACCCAGGUGGUUGCCUGCUAGUUGUUGAUCACUGUCCAGAAAACAAAUACAGAAUUCCAGUUUGCUUGUGUCCAGCAGUUCGCCGUGUCUGGAGGCAGCUAGUCAUUUCACCCCGACACCUAGAGCUAUAUUGACCUGUGCUUUGUGCUUGUGCAUGUUUAAUGUAUUAUUUUUAAUUCUAAGAUUUCUAUAUCCAUUUUUUCAUUCAUUUCAAUGUAUUAACAAAUAAACAGUUCAAGCAUAAUAAGGUGAUUCUUAAUGUUAUCCUUGGAAAUACGAGAAAAUCUAGAAUUUCCAGCCAACCUAGGGUCAGACUGGGCUCAAUCUUGUCGAACAGCUGGGUAGUAUACUACACCAAUUUGUAUUUUCUUGUGGUUGGUUCCAGUGUGUGUUAUGUGCAUGUGUGUACUAUUCAUGCUGUGUGUGUUAGCUAAUAUGUGCUCGGUAACAAGUAUUUUUCAUCGUCUGCCAGUAUAUGGCGUUGGGUGAGCAUAUCAGAGACGAAGAGUACCGAGCAGGCUACU